UACGUAGGGGGCUAGCGUUGUUCGGAAUUACUGGGCGUAAAGCGCGCGCAGGCGGCUUGUCAAGUCAGGGGUGAAAGCCCAGAGCUCAACUCUGGAAUUGCCUUUGAGACUGAGUGGCUUGAGUACGGGAGAGGUGAGUGGAAUUCCCAGUGUAGAGGUGAAAUUCGUAGAUAUUGGGAAGAACACCGGUGGCGAAGGCGGCUCACUGGCCCGUAACUGACGCUCAUGCACGACAGCGUGGGGAUCAAACAGG
rnacentral:rRNA from 1 species